UACAGAGGUCUCAAGCGUUGUUCGGAUUCAUUGGGCGUAAAGGGUGCGUAGGUGGCGCGCUAAGUCGGGUGUGAAAUUUCGGAGCUUAACUCCGAAACUGCAUUCGAUACUGGCGUGCUUGAGGACUGGAGAGGAGACUGGAAUUUACGGUGUAGCAGUGAAAUGCGUAGAUAUCGUAAGGAAGACCAGUGGCGAAGGCGGGUCUCUGGACAGUGCCUGACACUGAGACACGAAGGCCAGGGGAGCAAACGGG
rnacentral:rRNA from 1 species